GUCCUCUUGAUAAAUUAUUUGAGGUCUGGUCUGCUCACUGAUGAAUAUUAAAGAGCCGCGGUAUUUUGACCGUGCAAAGGUAGCAUAAUCAUUAGUCUCUUAAUUAGGGGCUGGAAUGAAUGGCUUGACGAGAAAUCAACUGUCUCUUAUUAAAUUCUAGAAUUUAACUUUUGAGUUAAAAGGCUUAAAUUUUUCUUUAGGACGAGAAGACCCUAUAGAGCUUGACAUUUUACUUUUAUAUAUUUUUUAGAUGUUUAUAUAUAUAGAAUGUUGAUGUUUUGUUGGGGUGACAUAAAGAAUAAAUAAACUCUUUUUUAUAAAAUCAUUGAUUUAUGUUAAUAAAAUGAUCCAUAAUUUAUGAUUAUAAGAUUAAGUUACCUUAGGGAUAACAGCGUAAUUGUUUUUGAGAGCUCAUAUCGACAAAGCAGAUUGCGACCUCGAUGUUGGAUUAAGAAAAAUGUUGGGUGCAGUAAUUCAAUAAUUAGGUCUGUUCGACCUUUAAAUUCUU
rnacentral:rRNA from 1 species